rnacentral:rRNA from 1 species
AUUAACGCGAAGAACCUUACCAAGGCUUGACAUAUACGAGAACGCACUGGAGACAGUGAACUCUUUGGACACUCGUAUACAGGUGGUGCAUGGUUGUCGUCAGCUCGUGUCGUGAGAUGUUGGGUUAAGUCCCGCAACGAGCGCAACCCUCGUCCUAUGUUGCCAGCACAUAAUGGUGGGAACUCAUGGGAUACUGCCGGGGUCAACUCGGAGGAAGGUGGGGAUGAGGUCAAAUCAUCAUGCCCCUUAUGUCUUGGGCUUCACGCAUGCUACAAUGGCCGGUACAAUGGGCUGCGAUACCGUAAGGUGGAGCGAAUCCCAAAAAGCCGGUCUCAGUUCGGAUUGAGGUCUGCAACUCGACCUCAUGAAGUCGGAGUCGCUAGUAAUCGUAGAUCAGCAACGCUACGGUGAAUACGUUCCCGGGCCUUGUACACACCGAAU